rnacentral:sRNA from 1 species
ACCCGCUGACUUAAGCAUAUCAAUAAGCGGAGGGARAAGAAACCNACAGGGAUUGCCCCAGUAACGGCGAGUGAAGCGGCAACAGCUCAAAUUUGAAAUCUGGUCCCCCCCGCGGGGGCCCGAGUUGUAAUUUGAAGAGGAUGCUUCUGGCGAGGCGCCGUCCGAGUUCCCUGGAACGGGACGCCGCAGAGGGUGAGAGCCCCGUACGGUCGGACGCCGAGCCUCUGUGAAGCUCCUUCGACGAGUCGAGUAGUUUGGGAAUGCUGCUCAAAAUGGGAGGUAAACCCCUUCUAAAGCUAAAUACCGGCCAGAGACCGAUAGCGCACAAGUAGAGUGAUCGAAAGAUGAAAAGCACUUUGAAAAGAGAGUUAAAAAGCACGUGAAAUUGUUGAAAGGGAAGCGCUUGCGACCAGACUCGCGCCCGUCGGAUCAGCCGUCGCUCGUCGGCGGCGCACUCCGGCGGGCUCGGGCCAGCAUCGGUUCGCCUCCGGGGGGAGAAAGGCGGCGGGAAUGUGGCUCUACGGAGUGUUAUAGCCCGCCGUGCAAUACCCCCGGGCGGACCGAGGACCGCGCGUAUGCAAGGAUGCUGGCGUAAUGGUCGUCAGCGACCCGUCUUGAAACACGGACCAAGGAGUCGUCCUAAUAUGCGAGUGUUCGGGUGUCAAACCCCUGCGCGUAAUGAAAGUGAACGGAGGUGAGAGCUUCGGCGCAUCAUCGACCGAUCCUGAUGUUCUCGGAUGGAUUUGAGUAAGAGCAUAUUGGGCCGGACCCGAAAGAAGGUGAACUAUGCCUGUAUAGGGUAAAGCCAGAGGAAACUCUGGUGGAGGCUCGCAGCGGUUCUGACGUGCAAANUCGAUCGUCAAAUAUGGGCNAUGGGGGGSCGAAAKACUUAAUCGWWCCCUUCUAGUWGCUKGUUUUCCGCCGAAUUUUYCCCU